rnacentral:misc_RNA from 1 species
AAACGGCACACCGCUUCCUUGUGCUGGGCGCGCUUGUUGUUCCUUAUACUCACGUCGAUCAAUUCAAUGCUGACAUCAUCGCUGCCCGCACUGGCACCAAAAUUCAAGUUUAUAAAGAUGAUGGCACGUUCAAGGUCAUGAAAUGGGACAAAGUAAGCAAGUAUAGCUUGGACGCCUACAAGGCUACAGUUACGNNNNNNNNNNUCAUUCAAAAAACGACACAACAUGUCGAGUUUGAAAGAUAUGGGCAUUCACUGCGUCGCGG